ACUUGUCUGUUUUGACUAUUUUGAGUGAAUUUUUUGUGGAAGUCGUAAAGUUUAUGUAUACACUUAUUUCGUUACAUAUGUUUUCCGCUUAAUUCUUCCAUUCAGCGCCAUUUUUCUAAAAGACAGGGUGGCAAGCCCCAUCUCACUUUGAAUGCAGAUCCUGGCACUGAAUUUAACUGGUUCCACAGCAUGGCCAGGAGAGGGCGCUCGCCACCGCGCUGUGAGCGCCAAAGGCUGCAGUGCCCCGGAGGCGAGCAGGCGGAGGAGCGCCCGUCCUGCCCUCUGACGUCAAGCCCUGCGUGAGAGGAGGCGGGGCCGCCGCGCCCGUGGUGCAGCCGCGCAGGCGCCGCCUGGCUCGGACCUUCCGGUCCCCAGAGCUGAGGCCCCAAGGGCCAGUGAGGCCUUCCCGGCCCCGGAGCUGAGUUCCUGAGGGCGAGUGAGGCUGUUUCCUCCCCGCAGCUGAGGCGCCGAAGGCCUGCCGGGCCCCAGUCUCGCGGCACCAGGAGCCAGCGAGGCCUUCCUGCCGCCAGGCCUCAGGCCCUCAGGGCGAGUAAGGCCUUGUCCACCACAGACCUGAGGGCUGUAGAAGACUUGCUGUGGUUCACCUUUAUUUGGAAUUACAUUUUUCCUUCUUUGCAAUGGCAUUCCAAAUCAGUAACAUUAUCAUCUUUGAAAGGCUGACAUCAUGGAAUUUCUUCAUCUCCAGACAUGGCCACAGAAAGAAAAAAACACACAGAUUUCACCACUGCAUGUGUUAGCCUACGAAGUCUGCUGUGAUCCUGGGGAGAGACUGAUAUGAAAGCAGACAGCCUUUCUAGAAUUUAGGUGUUGCAGCUUGUUAAAGACUCAGCAUUACGCUACAGGUGUGAAAACCUGACAGAAUCUGACCAAGAGCGGAUGAACUUCUGGCUGCACGAUCACUGUCUUUUCUCUGGCUGCCCUUCUUUCUGUCCCUCCCUUCAGACCUCGAUUCCUAGUGUCAGUCACACUGAUCACCACGUCAUCGUGGACAAGGGCAGCCCACUGCGAGCCACCUGGCCACGGCCAGCUCCUGGCAAGGGAGUGAAGUCGGCCACCUUCUUACCUUUUGGACUUGAAAAAUCCAUUUUCAGAGUUGAACAGAGAUAAAGGAAGUUGCUGCCUUUUAAAAGUUAUUUAUGGUUGUCAGUUGCCUACUACUUCAUCAUUCUUUCUCAUCAGAAGUUUUCUUUCAUUGCCUUUGCAAAAUUUGUAUAGAUUGCAGUCUUUUCAUCAGAGUGCAGCUUAGAUUCCACGCCAGGCCAGUGAGCCCUCUUUUCCAACUGGAGGAUCCCGCUCACAUACAGGGUUCACCUACGACUCUCGCUCUCGGCAAUCAUCUCCCACAAGGGUGCAAUGUACACAAAGGAGAAUCAGAAAGCUUUUCUCGGCCAAGAUUUAUUCUUGUCAAAAAGUGUUUUGUCAUGUAUGUUGAUAUACUUAAGGGUUGAGUCUUUCCUUUGAAAGAAAUUGCUAUUAAAGGAUAUUCAGAUGUACUUAACCCUGGAAAUAGAUUCAAUAAUGGAGUCAACAAAGACGGAGAAAUAAAGUCUCUACAUAUAUUGAUAAAACAUUGGGAGUUUUCUCUCCCAGAAGACACUGUCUCCAUGUACUGUAAAGAAUUAUCUCUUUUGAUUCCCUGCGGAUCUUGGUACAUGGGCUCCAAUUGUAACUAUUAAACAAACCUCCUUGCAUAUGCAGCCUGUAUUUUUAUGCCUGGCCGGAGGGAGUAAUAACCCCAUAGCCACUGCAGCCUGCUGUGAGGUUGCUGGGAGAGUGGAUUAGCUAUGCCCGUUUUGAUUUUGAAUGAGCAUACCCCCUGGCAACCUAUGUGGCCAAAAUAGUUUCUUACGUGGCAAGAUUACCACGUUUGUAGAACUGGUGGUUCACCCUUACAAACACCUGUACAUCGAUGGAGCUAAGCUUUCCUUACCAAAAGAUGCACAGAUGAAGGAACAGAACUCUUACACUUUUGCCUGCAUGGGUUUUUGUAUUUCUGUUCCUAUUCCCUCUCAACCAUCGUUUUCUUGCUUCUAUCUUUUAAAAGAAGCAAGGGACAUGAAGACAUAUCAACAUGGCUUUGCAUUUGUUCUGUUCCUACCACAUCUCCAGGAAAAUCAGACCAAUUAGUUUACACAAAUUAUUUACAUCGGGAUGUUAAGAAUCCGUGAAACCAACUGACUAGGAUUUUGUGUUCAAUUUAUUACUCAUGAGCAAAGUAUUUGCCUGAGCCUUUGCCCCACUAGUUACUGACCCUGAUUUUCCCAGUAGAAAUGAGCAUAUUGUUUGAAUGAAUUUGUGGCCAGUUGAUGGUUAGGCAUACGGGAAGGGAGAAUGUGUGGUUUCUGCCCACUUACUAGAGUUGGUGUGUUCCAGUGUCAAAGAUCUUGAGAACACUGGGGAGGUGUUGGUUCUGCUCAGGUGGUGGGUUGAGAUAACCUAGACUCUGGCGAGUGAAUUUCCGACUUACUGUGUAAUAUAUACAGCAGUUAAGGCUUUCCCUUCAAAUUGAAGUUUGUGUAUCUAGAGAUCUGUAAAUAUGUCCUGGUAGAAACAAAUUUGAAUUAAAUCUCUUUCAAGACAAUACACUUUUACCAAAUUAGAAAGAGGAGUUAGUUAAAAAUUAUUGAUGAACAUUAAUAGCAGGAAUAAUUAAAAUCCCUAAAGUGCCAAUUCUAGUACAGAAUUGCUGUAAGAAGUUUCUCCUGUUGCCAGAUGCUGAUUUUCAGAGACGUGGAGGUUAGGGUGUGGGCUGUGUUUCCUUUCCUUUAUCCAGGAGGGAUAUGUAUAUGUACAUGUCUACAUAUACAUGUUCAGUAUGUGUUGUAAUCAUUAUAUCAAUUUGAUCUAGAAAAUUAGUAAUACAUUUAUGUGUAAGGAACUGCUGAUUUUCAGAGAGGAUUAAAAGGAUAAAAUCUUCUUUUAUUUUUAUUAAGAGAUAAAGAGUUGGAAAUCUAAUUUCAUCUUUAUUUUCCUUUUUCUUUUUCACCAAGAAAAUAUGGUUUUUAUUCUAUUUCUUUCUUGUUAUAUGGACCUGUUUUUUCUUGACUCCUCCCACCCCAGGUUAUAUGUGGCUGCUUUCUAUUUAUUCUAUUUAUUAUUUUGUGCUUUCAAUUCUUAAAGCCAGUCAGCAACUAUGGCUCUGAACCACUUCUUUGCUGUUGAAUCUUUUCUAGAAAUGAACUGACGCCAGUUAGAGCAUGUAUCUAUAACUAUAGACUUCCAGUAAAAUCUGCCUUCCCAUAAUACUUUCAUUCACAUAUUAAAAUAUAAAUGUACACAAACACAAGUACUUAGGGGAAUUUUCUAUUUAAAUAAACUGACUUAAGUGCUUUUUAAUCCAAGGAGUACUUUUUUUUUUUCAAGAGACAAGCUCAUGCUCUCUCACCCAGAAUGGAGUGCAGUGAUGCAGUCAUAGCUCAUUGCAGCCUCAAACUCCUGGGCUCAAGCGAUCCUCCUGCCUCAGCCUUUUAGGUAGCUGGAACGACAGGUGAGUACCCACCACUGUCUGGCCAAUCUUUUAGAUUUUUUAUAGAGACAAGAUCUCACUAUGUUGCCCAGGCUGGUCUCAAACUCCUGACCUAAAGCAAUCCUCCUGCCUUGGCCUCCAAAAAUGCCGAGAUUACAGGCAAGAACCAUCAUGCCCAGCCAAGAAGUACUUUUAUAUUGAAAAUAUAUACCCCUGGUUUAUUGGGGAGCAGCAGGAAAAUAAAUGUGAUCUUCUGGCCAAAUCUAAAUCAUUUAUCACAAAAUCAUUGAAGAUUCUAUAUCAAUUCCUCUAAAAUAGCUGGUUUUUCUCUCUGUUCUGGUUGUGUUUUCGUGCAGACACAUUCAUCUCUUUAGAUCCUAAAGGUUUCAACAGAAACAUGUUUUUCUCCCUUUCUUUUCCAAAGCUGUUGUGCACAGUAGCUUUUAGAGAAUUAUUCUUUAUCUGCCAUACAGAGGUCUUUGAAGACUCAUAAAUCUUAUUGAUGUCUUUUGUUAGAAGAGUACUUACAUAUUUAAGAGACAGCUGAAAUAUAAAAUUAAACUUCUCCUAGUUUGUCAAGGGUAUAUUUUUUGUUAUAACUAGAUUCACUAUGCCUUCAUCCUUUAGGGUUAGUUGUUUAAAACAAUUUACUCUGUGUGUAAGUGUGAAGCAUCACAACUCACUUGUUCCUGAUUGAGCGUAGCCCAGGACAAAUAGCACUUCUUUCAAACUCUGAAAGAGAGAAGGCCAUCUGUCUGUCUCUUCCCAAACUAUGAGAUGAAACUGGUGGAAAUAAAACAUCGCUGUACAUUAAGGAAAUAAGGUCAGCUCCUCUCCCUCCCUCCCCCAAGCUCCUCACCCGCCUGUUUCCCCUCUUUCGGAGGCUUCUCCUCAGAGCAGCAAUGCCCAGGAGAAUGCUCUGAGAUGCUGGAGUGUUCUGUGUCUGCACCACUAGUCGUGCAGGAGUGUUGAGCAUUGCACAAAAAGGCCAGUGCCAUCGACAGACUGAUUUUAUUUCCUUAAAUUUAAAUUUUAGUGGCCACUGGCUAUCAUAUUUGGUAGUGUAGCCAUGUAGUUGGUUAAGGAAAUAUUCGUUCUUCUCAGAUAGAAUUUUGGAAGAUCAUAAUUCUUUUUUCCCAACCCCCCCCCAGAAAGAUUAUAAUUCUUUUUCCACGACAAAGAAUAAUCUGAGCAAUUAUUAGAAUGUGACAAUUUUACAUUUAAUCUUUCUGUAGUGUAAUAACUUGAUGUAGAUUUAAGAACUGUAAAAUUUAUUCUUAUGGCUACAUAUGAUAAUAAGAAGUUUUUAGUCAAGGGAACAUAUAUUCCAUAAAAUAUAUUGGAGAUAAGAA